ACCCAAAUUUUUAUCCAGGUUGACCUCGGAUCAGGUAGGGAUACCCGCUGAACUUAAGCAUAUCAAUAAGCGGAGGAAAAGAAACCAACAGGGAUUGCCCCAGUAACGGCGAGUGAAGCGGCAAGAGCUCAAAUUUUGAAGCUGGCUCCUUCGGGUCCGCAUUGUAAUUGCAGAGGAUGCUUCGGGAG
rnacentral:rRNA from 1 species